ACUUAACCUUUUUUUUCAUUACAAACAAAAAUUUGUUUACCAUUUUUUUUUCUCUUCUUUUGCUUCCUUUUUUGAUAGAUCCUGAUCAUGAUUGGAAGUAACAGUUUAAUUCAACUAUAUCAACAGUUGAACGUGAUUAGAAUCAUCUUGUGAUGUUUUGCAGUUCCCAAAUGGUCGGGUUAAAUUUGUUAACGCGAUUUUCACUUGAUUCGGGGCUGGACACAAAUAAAUCAACGUAAAUUAACCUUGAUUCUUGGCGUAAAGUAAUUUAAAAAAUUACUAUUUUCAACUCAAUGGACAAUUUUAUACCCAGAAAUUGAUUGUGAAAAAUGUUCAUUAUCAUCUUCCAUACAAUCUACUGUUAUAUUGAUUUUAAUUGAACCAUUAUUCAACUUAAACAUGACGCAAGUCAUCUCAACACCUCAAGUUCAAGCGAAUUGAAAACUCAGUAUAACUAAUCGAUGAACACGAAAUUUUUGAACGAUUCAGUUCAACAAAAAGAGUUGAUUUAAUGAGUGAAGAUUUACCCAUUAAAGUAAAUUAUGGAUUGUAAUACAUUUAGCUUCCAAAAUCUGGAACCAAGCAAAUUGCCUUGUAACUUGUAGUCAAUUAACAGGAUUUCAAUUAAAGCCCUCCACAACAGGAUUUACUUUCACCUUUCACCCAAAAGUGUUUAUGGUUUGCUAAUAUAAAACUUGAAAUCACGAUCUUAACACAGUAAUCAUUAGGAUAAUAAUGAUAAUGAUGGACCACGGAAACAAUUGACCUUCCAAGGAUGCAUACCAUAACCAGCCCAAAUUGCAGGAUCUACUUAUUUGUGGUACCAACGGAUCAUUCAUCAAGUUUCAAGUUUCAAAACUCUAAUUACAGGUUAUCAUGAGUGUGUUAAUCUGUGAAUAGCUAAACUGACCAUUAUAAUAAUGAAAGAGACAACAAUUUGCAAUGAAGAUGAUCAUGAACCUUUUGGCAGAAGGAGAAGAAGAUUUAAUUUUAAACAAGUUUCAUUCAUCUGCUAAUCUUUUAAUUGAAUCUUUAUCCCUUUAUUAACCUUUACAAAAACACUGAGCAAAUCCCAUGAUGAUAAUCUUACAUUGUAAAUUAAAUUACAAUUUUCACUAUAAUCAGGUUUAAAUGAUCAUCAAUUGCAAGUUGAUUGCUUGAUUUAUAAUUUCAAUUUCAAUUCAUUAUCCAUCGUCUAAAACAUUAUCACUAAUACCUGUAAUCUCAACUCAAUGUACUCAAUGUAUUAAUAUCAAACCUUCAACAUGAUAUUAAUAGAUUAGCUUUUCGCACAAGUCUAUUUUAGCUUAGCUAAAGGAUUGUACCUUUUUUUAUUAAGUGUUAAUGGGCCAAUGAUGAGACAAAGUGUUAUUUACCUACAUUAAUAAUCAUUAAAAUUGCCCGAUAAUCAA